GGAUGGAGAGCAAUUAUUCGGCCAAUUAGAGAUUAGUUUCGUUUUUGGCCAAUCCAAUUCUUCGUCUUCUUGUUGUUCCAGCAAGGAAUU
ensembl:ncRNA C54A12.7 ncRNA